rnacentral:sRNA from 1 species
UUCUAGCCCCGAUUGGAACGGCAUCCUUUUUUGGCGCGAUCCGCCAAAGGCGGAGAAGCGGCAAAAAAGAUAUAGUGGAAAGCGGGAAGACUA